rnacentral:rRNA from 1 species
GACGAACGCUGGCGGCGUGCCUAAUACAUGCAAGUAGAACGCUGAAGGAGGAGCUUGCUUCUCUGGAUGAGUUGCGAACGGGUGAGUAACGCGUAGGUAACCUGCCUGGUAGCGGGGGAUAACUAUUAGAAACGAUAGCUAAUACCGCAUAAGAGUAGAUGUCGCAUGACAUUUGCUUAAAAGGUGCAAUUGCAUCACUACCAGAUGGACCUGCGUUGUAUUAGCUAGUUGGUGAGGUAACGGCUCACCAAGGCAACGAUACAUAGCCGACCUGAGAGGGUGAGCGGCCACACUGGGACUGAGACACGGCCCAGACUCCUACGGGAGGCAGCAGUAGGGAAUCUUCGGCAAUGGACGGAAGUCUGACCGAGCAACGCCGCGUGAGUGAAGAAGGUUUUCGGAUCGUAAAGCUCUGUUGUAAGAGAAGAACGAGUGUGAGAGUGGAAAGUUCACACUGUGACGGUAUCUUACCAGAAAGGGACGGCUAACUACGUG